UGGGGGUGUUGGGGUUGUGUGUGUUUGUGUCAUUGGUGUCAUCAUCUUGUGUAAAAGAAAGAAUAAAAGAAUUGAGUCACCAGUAGACCAAAGUAGAAAACAGGAUUUUAAUGAAUAUGUAGCAGUGAAUAGAUUCAACACUGCAUCUGAUUCAGCUUCAGCCAAUCAGGAGGAAGACCUUUAUGCUAAAGUUGUACGCCAGCGUGCUGUUGAUCUCGGGGAUGCUGGAAGUUCUGCUGCAAUCACUUCUGCCUCUGGGGAGGACGAGGUUCAGUACGCAAGUGUUAAAUUUACACGCACUGGUGCUGAC